ensembl:lncRNA
GCCAGGGGCUCGGGCAGUGUGGGCUGAGCCCAAUGUGCGAAGACGGGCCUGCAGUGGAGGAAGCUUUUGCAGGUCAAAAACAUGUGUUUGGGAAACCUUCCUUGUGCUCUUGGCUUGGGAAUCUCACUCCUUCUGUGAAUCACUUCUUCUUGCAGCCUUGGUGUUUUCUCUACUUCAUCUUGGAGUCCUGUGAACCCCUAGUGCGCAUUCUGCUUCCUGCUGGGCUGGCUGCUGGCAGCCGCCCAUCUGUGCCAUCCGUGAGGCAGACAGAGGGACAGACAGGGAGCCUGCAGGGCAGUGACUCCCCUCCUGAGAGAAGGCCCUGCCCGGAUCUGCCAGGUUCUAAACACCUGGCAUGGGGCAGAGGAGAGAUGUCUUGACUGAUAGCAGAAGUGCCAAAUGCUUCUUGGUCCUGCCAUGAAACGCCUGUGCCGCCUCAAACUUCAGCUUCCACCCUAAGAAACAGGACAUCUGGCCUAGAUGGUGCGAAGGGCUCUGUGAGCUUCGUGCUCCUGAGGGAAGGGCUGGGAUGGCAGAGGGAGGCUGAGCCCUGUCCUUCGAGGUUGCCCCCAGAUCUGGCCCUGCCCUCCGACAGGGUUUGAGGCGGUGGCAGCUACUGGUUAAUGGGGACCAGAUGCAGCCCUGUCCCUGGCCGUGCUCGGCCGCCUUCCUGCUCCAAGGACUUGGGGCUCUUUGAAACUCUGUGGAGUGUGGCUUCGGAGCCCAGAGUGGAAACCGCAGCUCCAUUCUGUGAGCACAUGUGAUCUCCCUGGGCGGAGAGAGUGACUGGCCUCAGGAAAGGAGAGGCGAGGUGGAGGCCACUGGCUCUCUGGAGAAUGCUUUUGCCUCCCUGCUUAGGACGGUGUCUGGGAGCCCCAGGGAGGUAAGUCCAGCAUGCCCGGCCAGAAUGGCAGGAGUGGUCCCUGAGCUGGUGGGCUCCCUAAGACCAGAAGAUGGGAGCAGGGGCCAGGGGCCUUCAGAGAAGGGAUUCGAGCCCCAUAUGAGAGCUGGACAUCCACCGAGAAACCAUUCUAUCCUGCACCCCCCCCCCCCGCCAACGUGAUUGAUCACAUAUUUCGAAUGCUUUAUGUUUGCCAGACAAAUCACUGAAGAAGAAAAAUUCCAUUGAAAGGGAGUGGCCCCUGUGCCUCCCCCUCCCCGGGGCAGACCAAGCAACUCAGUUUGCACAAAUGAGUGGGAACUGAUUCCAACAUCACUGCCAGUUGAGACACCCCAGCUUCUGUCACUGCCUGGUUGGGUAACUUUGGGCCAAUAAUUUAACGUCUCUAGCCUCAAGUUCCCAUUUGUCCGAUGCAGGUAAUGAGCCUGGCCUUGCAAGUUCUGAGAGGUGGGUGACAGGCCUGGCAGAGCCUCAGCAGAGCUCUUGGUGGGUUCCAGCGAGUCCAAGCUGGGUAUUUCUGUGUUUUGGAGCUGAAGCAGCCCGUAGUCCCACAAACUAGAAGUACAGCUGACACAUGAACAGGUCAGUUGCAAUAAAAAUAGGAGAAUGGUCAGUUCUAGGAGUGGUUUAUGCUACCUGGGAAUUAGGAAGGUUUCCCAAGGGAGGUGACAAUUGAGCUGGGUUUUGAAGAUUGAUGAGGAGUUUGCUGGCUGAAAAGCAACCACCACCACCACAACACAAAAAACACAAACACAAAAAUAACAGUAGCUUAAACAAGGUAGAAGCUUAUGUCUGACUCAAGUCGAGAUCUGGUGGUGGAGCCCCGGGCUCAUAGGGUGCUACGUGGUGACAGGCAACCAGGCUCUUCUUAUCUUGUUGCUCCACUGUGCAGGGCCUCUAUCCCAUACUCUCCUCCUGGCACAAGGUGGCUGCUGGAGCUCCAGCAACUCUGUCUCUUUAAGGACACGCCUGGAAGUUGUACAGUGCACUGACAAGCCACUGUCAAAGGCUUCCUCCAUGGCCAAUCGAACUGCAAGGGAGACUGAGAUAACUCUUCUUUGUUCUGGGUGGCCAUGUGCCCAGCUAGCAAGGAAUUAGGGGUCCCGUUACUAAGGAGGACUUGGGGAACAGGCACUUAGGUCAUAACUGGCCCAGUUUGCUACACUGAGGACGGAUGACAGGAAAGGUCUUCUUGCCAGAAGGAACAGCACG